rnacentral:rRNA from 1 species
GACGAACGCUGACGGCGUGCUUUAGACAUGCAAGUCGAACGAGAACACCCUUCGGGGCUAGUAAAGUGGCGAACGGGUGAGUAACACGUGGGCAACCUGCCCCUCGCAGGGGGACAACCGGAGGAAACUCCGGCUAAUACCCCGUAAGCUCUCGGGAUCGAGUGACCCCGGGAGGAAAGGUAGCUUCGGCCAUCCGGCGAGGGAUGGGCCCGCGGUACAUUAGCUAGUUGGUGGGGUAACGCCCACCAAGGCGACGAUGAUAGCUGGUCUGAGAGGAUGAUCAGCCACACUGGGGACUGAGACACGGCCCAGACUCCUACGGGAGGCAGCAGUCGGGAAUCUUGCGCAAUGGGCGAAAGCCUGACGCAGCAACGCCGUGUGGGUGAGGAGGCCUUA